GUAGUGACUGCGGAGGAUCAUUACCGAGUGAGGGCCCUCUGGGUCCACCUCCCACCCGUGUUUAUCGUACCUUGUUGCUUCGGCGGGCCCGCCGCAAGGCCGCCGGGGGGCAUCUGCCCUCUGGCCCGCGCCCGCCGAAGACACCAUUGAACGCUGUCUGAAGAUUGCAGUCUGAGCAAUUAGUUAAAUAACUUAAAACUUUCAACAACGGAUCUCUUGGUUCCGGCAUCGAUGAAGAACGCAGCGAAAUGCGAUACGUAAUGUGAAUUGCAGAAUUCAGUGAAUCAUCGAGUCUUUGAACGCACAUUGCGCCCCCUGGUAUUCCGGGGGGCAUGCCUGUCCGAGCGUCAUUGCUGCCCUCAAGCACGGCUUGUGUGUUGGGCUCCGUCCUCCUCCCGGGGGACGGGCCCGAAAGGCAGCGGCGGCACCGCGUCCGGUCCUCGAGCGUAUGGGGCUUCGUCACCCGCUCUGUAGGCCCGGCCGGCGCUUGCCGACACAUCAAUCUUUUUUCCAGGUUGACCUCGGAUCAGGUAGGGAUACCCGCUGAACUUAAGCAUAUCAUAGNCCGGAGG
rnacentral:rRNA from 1 species